rnacentral:lncRNA from 7 species
AUGGGUCUCUGUGAGUUUUUCCUGCAGUCCAAUAGGUCUCUGUAUCACUUGUACUGAGGACACUACAUCUGAAGAGAAAAGCAAGGGUAAAGACACUAGAAUAAGGAAAAAGGACAAGUUAUUUUGACAAGCAAACAGGCAAGGAAUCAGAUGCAUAAGCUUGAGAGAAAGCAGUAUUAGAGGGGAAAACAGAAAAAACAAUAGUUUUCUGGUGGAAACUUUGUGCUAUACAUUACUGGUAAUAGGGCUACUCUGGAUUAUUGUGUCGUGGAUUCCAUUGAAUACAGGCUUGCUCAUCUGUCUCAUAGUGCAGUGUAAAAUUAAAGAGGGAAAGACAGAGUACAGGACCUUUUGUUACUUGUUCUUCCCCUUAGUAUUUUUGGGGAUACAGCAAGAGGAAUAGUUGGCUGUGUCCACAUAAUAAAUAUCUUCAAAUCCUGAUAACUGUCUAAAAUGAGCAUAUAGAACAACCUGAAGAUUCAUGUCAGAUGGCAGAAAAAGUGGCUGAAGCAGACUUGAAGAACACUUCUGCAUAUCUUGUCUUCUGCUUGCAGUAUUUUCAAACUGGCUUUGCUGAUUCACCUCCUAAUAUAAAGUAAAAUCAGCUCUAACAUAAAGAAUAUACCCAAACCAAUGAAGAUGAGAAGGAGAUGAAUGGUUAACAAUUUGUAUGGUAUUAACUUCAGGUCCUCAGCACCAAAACAUUAUCUGGCUUUCCUGAUGCGUUUUUACUGUUCCACGCUGCUUGAUAAUGAAAAUGCAGUUCAAACACCCAGGAAAUCCCAGGUGCCAGACCAGUUAGUCUGGCAUAUGGGGGGAAAAAAAAUAAGGCUAAGAGGCCACAAUUUCCUUCUUAUUUGUGCCUUUAGGCAACAGAGAAAAAAUCAAGAUAGGUAAACCUGAAAACAGAUGUUCUUCAGCCUCCCCUCCUUCCACCUAUAGAGUCUUGUUUACUCCUAAUAGCCCCACUCAUACAUGCCAGCUUACUGUGUGCAAUAAAUCAUAAUAUGUAUUUUAAAUUAAAUCAAGCCAUGGCAAUCACUUCUUUUGUAUUUUGUACUAAUCACCUCUUAGAAAGUUUACCCUGCCAGUGGAUAGAAAAUAUGUAUGUAAUUUUGAUAACACUUCUGCUGACAAAGUCAUUUAACUGAUGGCAGUGAAAUCUAAGAUUGGAAGCAAACCAUGCAAGCCAAAAUAAUUAUUGCCUGCUUUAAGUUUUCCCCCAAAGGCCACCUGCAUAAUUUAUAU